GGAAGAACUGGGCAACUGGUAUCUCUCUAGCUGCAGUCCUGGUUUCCAGUUAUCUGUGACUUAGGAACCUUUUGAAGUGAUAUCUCCAAACAUGGAAAGCCUGAUGUGGUUUUCUUUCCUGACUGCCAAUUGCUUUUGCCAGCCCUGGCCCCUUGAACAAUGGGAGAGCAGUCUGAGAGCACCACUGCAGAGCUGCUUUUCCUGCUGUAUUCCCACGUGGGAGAGAGCCUGGCAUGGCACAAAGACUGUAGUCACAGAGCAGGAGUGUGCAGGCUCACCACAGGUCUUUGCCUGCUAUACCUUGUAGCCAUCACCAUUUCUUUGUACCCAGGAUAUCUAUUUGGGAUUGCGGACGCUCCAGAGACAGGGAUGGGGACUCAGUGGACACCAGAGGGUGUGUGGAAGGACUGGCAGGGGCACAGAAGCAGGGCCAGCUCCUUGGUCGGGUGCUGCAACUGGGAAAGCAAAACCUGUCUGCUCAU
rnacentral:lncRNA from 12 species